rnacentral:rRNA from 1 species
CCUACGGGAGGCAGCAGUAGGGAACCUUUCACAAUGGGCGAAAGCCUGAUGGAGCAACGCCGCGUGCAGGAUGAAGACCUUCGGGUUGUAAACUGCUUUUAUAAGCGAGAAAUAUGAUGGUAACUUAUGAAUAAGGAUCGGCUAACUACGUGCCAGCAGCCGCGGUCAUACGUAGGAUCCGAGCAUUAUCCGGGGUGACUGGGUGUAAAGAGUUGCGUAGGUGGCAUAAUAAGUAGCUAGUGAAAUCUGGUGGCUCAACCAUUCAGACUAUUAGCUAAACUGUUAAGCUCGAGACCGUUAGGGGUAACUGGAAUUUCUAGUGUAGGAGUGAAAUCCGUAGAUAUUAGAAGGAACACCAAUAGCGUAGGCAGGUUGCUGGGACGGUUCUGACACUAAGGCACGAAAGCGUAGGGAGCAAACGGGAUUAGAUACCCCUGUAGUC